GGCUGCGCAGCUGAGGAAGGGCCUGGAGCAUCUCAGUGUCCAGGAAAGGCUGCGGGAGCUGGGGCUGCUCAGCCUGGAGAGGAGCCCCAGCUGAGAGGGGCCCUCAGGCCUGGCUGGCCCUGGCUGCAGGGAGGGGCAGAGCAGGGCCCGGGCUCUGCUCCGGGGCCCAGCAAUGGCACCAGAGCCACGGGCAGGGCCUGAGCCCAGCAAUUCCCCUGCCCAGGAGGCAGAGCUUCUGCCCUGGGCACUGCCCAGCCCUGAGCAGAUUGUCCAGAGAGCCUGGGGAGUCUCCUCCCUGGGGAUAUUCCCGAGCCCUCUGGACACACUCCUGGGCCCUGGGCUCUGGGAUGGCCCUGGGGACCCUCUCUGGGCUCUUCCGACCUGACCCAUUUUGAGAUUCUGUGACAGCUGAAUGAAGAGCCUCCCUCUGAGCUCAUGCAAAAGGAGCCCUGGUGAAGUUAAUCAGUUUCCAGGGAAGUUGAAUCUGAAAAAAAGAAAAACCCAGCUCGAUGGCAUAGUAAAGUUAGGAAAUUCCUGGUUUUCAAUACAAAAGAACCAAAUUUGACAGGUGCCCGGAGAACACAGAGCAAGUGACUCAGUAACACGGCUGAACACAAACAGAGCCUGGAGAUCCAGAAUUCUGUGUUAAACUGAGAGCACUGCACGCUUUGGAGCCCUUAUGGCUUUUUUAUGCAGUAACAGAACCUAGAUGGGUGUUUAGGUGAAUUAGUCCUUAUAGGCAGAAAUCAGUCCAAGUAAAACAGUCAGGCCUCAGGUGAUUUAUUUAAAGCUAUUUUUAAUCUGGGGAUUUUAGCAAAUUUACUCAAGAUUUCUUAGUCAAAUCUAGUCCAGAAAUCAGAAAAAAAACCAACCCAUAUACAGAUUUAUAUAGAGUUACAGGCUUACUUGUGACUUGUGCAGUGUCUUGCUUUUCACCAAGCACCGUCCUAAAUGGUCCAGAGGGCAUUUAAAAAUUCUGCUGGAUGAAGGUAUGAGGGAAAUCCUGCUGGAAGAAGUCUCACUGGGACCUCCAGCAAAGUACAAACUCACUUUCCUGUGGUAAGAGAGUGGUUGAUCAUGUCAUACCUGAACUGUCAGCCUGCUGCAGUGCACUGUUGCCUGAGGGACUCAAAGGUCACUGAAUCAUGCCCAUGUCUCAUUUUAUUUGCCACCCUUUUGAGGCCCUCUGGCCAAGGAUCCUGAGGUGGCACCUGGCCAGACCAUCCAGGCCCGGUGUGCUGCACAUGGUCAAGCCCUGGACCAGUGGUGGAG